rnacentral:rRNA from 1 species
UACAGAGGGUGCGAGCGUUGUCCGGAAUCACUGGGCGUAAAGGGCGCGUAGGCGGCUCAGUAAGGUUGCGGUGAAAGCCCGGGGCUCAACCCCGGGUCGGCCGUGGCAACUGCUGGGCUGGAGCACUGUAGAGGCAGGUGGAAUUCCGGGUGUAGCGGUGGAAUGCGUAGAGAUCCGGAAGAACACCGGUGGCGAAGGCGGCGAGCUGGCCUGUUACUGACGCUGAGGCGCGACAGCGUGGGGAGCAACAGG